GUGACAUAGCAAGAAGACUCAUACUUAGGCAAGGACAAGCAGGAAGUGGUUCCUUUCCCCUUCACUCCUUCCUCCUGCUCUCUGUUCUGAGCCACCAUGUGAUCCUGGGAUGAGGACACCAACGGAAGGCAUCCGAUAAGAUAAGUCUUAUAAAAUAUAUAGAUUUAUGAUCAUUAAGACUGAGCUAGCAGAUGAGAAAUCCUAGUCAUUGGCCAAGCAGUAUUUGUAUCUAACAUAAGUCUCUGUGUAUUAUUUUGCCCACCCACGUGGCGGGCAGAACUCAAGCAGGUGGCAGAAAGAUUUAUUGUAAGAGCCAGUAGUCAGGCAGGAAGUUUAGGUGGGGCUACUAGACUAGGAGAAUUCUAGGAAGAGAAAAGGCGGAGAGUGAGUUGUCAGCCAGAUGCAGAAGAAGCAAGAUGAGAAUGCCUUACUGAGAAAAUGUACCAAGCCACAUGGCUAAACAUAGAUGGCAGAGAUGGAGAAACGAAGCAGCCUGAGUCCACUGGAACCCAGAAGAUCAUGAGUCUCAGAUGUUGUAUAUUGAACUAAAGGAUUUGACUUAUACUGCUUUGAUUUUUAUUGUGAUUGUCCCCUGGUUCUUCCCUCGUGGAAUAAAUAUAUUUAACUAGUUUCUGGUUUUACAGGAGCCCACAGUUUUGAGACUUCAGACGUUCAAAGAGACAUUAGAUUUUAUUUCUUUAUUUGGGGUUUUGUUUUGUUUUUCUUUUUUGGAAGGGAUUGUUUUCAAGAUAGAAUUUUUCUGUGUAGCUCUAGCUGUACUAGAACUGGCUCUGUAGACCAGGCUAGCCUCAAACUCUAGGAUCUGUCUCAUCCUCCCAUGUGCCAGAAUUAAAGGUGUGCACUACUGCUCCUGGCUGAGACAUUAGAUUUUUUUAACAGAACUUGGACUCCUUUAAAGUGUUGAAAUGUUUAAAGACUGGAGGACUUUAAAAAAUGACACCAUAAGGUUAAUAUGAGCUCUUGUGGAUAAACAACAAAGGAAAGAUAACUGUUUGAUUAUGAUGUGCAUGUGUGCCAGUUUUACAAGGGGUCUAUUGCGCUGGUUAGUUUUUGUCAUCUUGCUACAAGCUGGGGUCAUCUGGGAAAAGGGAACCCCACCUAAUAAAAUGCUUUCUGAGCCCACUGUGGGCAGUGCCACCCUGUGGUCGUAGGAGGUAUAAGAAAAGUAGUUGAUCAUGAGCCUGGCAUGGGAACCAGUAAGCAGCAUCGCUGCAAGGUCUCUGCUUCAGUUCCUGCCUCCAGUUUCAUGCUUUGGCUUUCCAGAAUGAUGGACUGUAAUGAGGACAUAUAAGACAAACAAAUUCUUUAUCCCCAACUUGCUUUUGGUCUGGUCUUUAUCACAGCAGUAGAAAUAGAACCAAGACAUAAGUGAAUAUUCUUUUUUUCUUCAUUUUCCAGAUUUUCAAAAAUAAAAACAACUUGCCUAAAGUUCAUACAACCAUUGAUCUCUAGAGUCAAGUAUUAAAUGCAGUGUCUAGCAGGAAACAUGGGAACUUCAGUAUAUUCCAACCUAUUGCCUAUUGCUUUGUUAGGAGCAGGCAUGCAUAGUAGGAUGGGUUGUUAGACUCCAAAGAGAGAGGGGGGGGGGAGAGAGAGAGGGAGAGAGAGAGAGAGGGAGGAAGAGAGAGAGAGAGACAGAGACAGAGAGACAGAGAGAGACAGAGAGAGAGAGAGAGAGAGAGAGAGAGAGAGAGAGAGGGAGAGAGAACUGUGAAGGAUAGGAAAGGUAGAAGAUUAAGUCCUAUUUUUAUUUUUAAAAUGUAUAUGCAUAUGGGUGUUUUGCCUGCAUGUAUGUCUACAUACCACAUGUAAGCCUGGUGUCCCUGGAGACCAGAAAAGAACAUGGAUACUCUGGAACUGGUAGUUGUUAGCAUGGUACAUGUAGGUGUUGACAGUCAAACUGGGGUCCUCUGGAAGAGCAGUCAGUGCUCUUAACUGCUGAGCCAUUUCUGCAGCCCCAAGUUAAAUCUAACUCAAGUUUAACCUCAUAUAAUUAUUUCACACAGGAGCAGGUGACCAAUGUUUUGGGCAAAUCCAGCUUCCUUCCUCAGCCUAAGAGAAUGACAAAGAAUUGCACUUCAAAUGGUGACCUCAGAUUAGCCACCAAGUGGACACCCCAAAUACAACAGCUUGGCCACCCAUUGCCAUUUUAAUUGCUAGUUAUCAUUCAAGUAUGGCUGUGUGUCUCUGGUGUUGAAGGUGUUGUUUUUAUUCUUGGCAC
ensembl:lncRNA